UGGAGAUGGACAGUGGUGAUGACUACACAACAAUGUGAAUAUACUUAGUGCCAACAAAAUGGUUGGUGGUGACCUCAGGGAGAAGGGAACUGACAAAUAAAGUGUGCUUUAUUUCUAUAACAACAAAGAUCUGAAGCCAGUAUGGCAAAAUGUGAACAUCUAUAAAAUUGGAUUGGCUAAUUGUGUUGGUUAGCAUGUCUGUGAAACCUGAUUAAUAACAAUGAUGGACACCGGAAGCAGUUUAUCAGAGCAAUGGAGACCAUGCGCUAUGGAGUCAGACAACAUGGGUUCAAUCCUGGGGACCAAGUACUGUAAUAUAUGCAUGUCCUUUUGCACAUGCUUAAACUGCUAAAUGAUUAGGACGGUUUAUUGUUGUCUGCUCCACAUUUUGGUCUUAUCUGGAUGGCUUCCUUUUUUUAAAGAUUUUAUUUAUUUAUUCAUGAGAGACACAGAGAGAGAGAGGCAGAGAGAGAAGAAGACUUCCUAUGAAGAGCCUGAUGCGGGACUCAUUCCCAGGAACCCAGGAUCACGACCUGAGCCAAAGGCAGACGCUCAACCACUGAGCCACCCAGGUGCCCCUUACCUGGAUGGUUUCUUCCAGGCGGUAGCACUCAAGGACCUGCAGUGUCUCUAUAACCUGGUUUGGGCUGAACUGACAUAGCAGCUCAAUGAACUGCUCCGUAACACAGGGAGACAUCUGCAGCAAUUCUUGAUUUACAUGAAUACCUUCCCUGAAAACAAAAACGGCAAGAGAGAAGCAUUAUUUAAGCAUAUCUAUAAUUAUGGUUACAAGUAAGUAUAUAAGCCUUGAAACCAAGAUUACCUUCUGGUGAGGUAAGUGGUAAAUUAAAAGACUCAGUGUUACUUAAGUUGUUAGGGUAAACCACGUUUUAUAACAGAGACAAUCUAAAUCACAACAGUACUCAGUUUACAUUGAAUAAUAAAGGAAAUGAUAUUCUGUGAAAGCUCCUCUAAAUAAAUACCAAAGUUGUACUGCUGCUCUAGAAGACACAAAAUUAAACAAUGAUCCAUUAUUAUAUUAAACCACCCUCCAGUCUUUACAAAUGCCCUUACAGCACCAAUCACAUCAUGGUGUUAAUAUUUUACCUUCAUCAGAGGUAAAUUUUAAUUAAUAUAGCUUUAUUAUCUUUAUUUAUCUUUCUUAUCUAAAGACUAUAAACUCUCAGAGGCUAGGUACCAGGUAUCUUCCUACUAAUGAAUUCCUAAAGCCUGCAACAGUGCCCUGCAUGUUGUAAGGGCUAAUUAUUUAGGUGUUGUUAAAAUAAAUCUAAAAAAUGGACGAGUAGUAGGAUACACAAUAUUUAUGUGUUCAUUUGUCUACUAUAUCAGCUAUUCAGAAAGCCCAUUAUUCACAAUAUCCACAUGAGAUAGAGAUACUGGGGUGCCUGGCUGGCUCAGUUGGUAGAGCAUGUGACUCUUGAUCUUGGGGUUGUGAGUUCAAGUCCCACAUUGGGCAUACAGCUGAAUUAAAAAAAAAAAAAAAGCUAGAAAAAUAAAAGGAUCAGUUUUAUCAUGGUGGACACUCAACUACCAGUGGCCAAAAGUAACUAUUUAGAAAAUCAACUACUGCUCAUUACAGAAUUAAGAAUCAUCUCUGUAGCUUCAAAAGAAGUCCGUUCCUUCUGAGAGCCCUAUCUUCUCUUUAGGACUCCUCAACUAAAGCUCCUUAUAUAAAAAGAAUCAGAAUAGGGUUAAUAAGAUACAAAAAUGCUUAGGAAACUAGCCUGUCGAAGAAAUGUGAAGGCAGAUGGUUUAAAGCAACACCUCCCAGCUUUUCUCACAUCAUGGCACACAGAGAAGGAUGGUAUUGGUAUGGCUCAUCAGAGUAAAGUAAGAAUGGUCACAGGGAGAUAUGGCUGCCCCAAGAGCUGAGGGGAUGAGUCUCCAGGCACAACUGUAACACAUGUGCAACACACCAACAGUCCCAGGCGGGAAUCUCUGGACUCCACUGAGAUCAAUCUGAGGUUAAAAAUACUCUACAAAUGAUGGUAAAUAGUACUCCUAUUUUUACUCAUAAGAAACUUCAGUUACAGAAAGAGGAAUUAUAUUUAGAGAUAGGAAAUCUUUCCUAAAUUAAGAAGAGUCUUGUGACACUCCAUUCUGACCAGAGGUUGAGUGAUAAACACAUUAAUUAAGUUCUGCUGCUUGAGGCUGUCAAUACUUGCUGAUGGGCUAAUUGAGUGUGUACUCAAAUUGGCUGUAAAUCUCUAAGAUCAAGUUUCCUUUCUUUUUUCUUUCUUUCUUUUGCAUUUCGUAACUGCUUUAACACAGUAUUUGCUAAGUAACUGGUUAUUCCCUAUGUAGACUAUCACCUUAGUUCCAUGUGUCCAUGUCCCAACUACACUAUAAAUUCUGAGAGCAAAGACUGUGUGGCAUUCAAUGUCUUCCAGCAUUCACACAGUCUUGGCACAUAAUAAAUAAGUACUCAGUAAAUAUACACUGCAUUGAACUGAAUUGACUGGCCACAAUGUACUGGAUUGCUUUCAGAAAAAGGGAACCAAAUAUAGGAUAGAGGGGUGAAAAUUACAAGGACAAUGACUCCACAGUCAGAUUGAGCUACAAAUGAAUCCUGUCAGAAAGUUCUGCAUGGACAAAAUAGAAAAUGUACAUGACAACAAAGGGAAAUGAUAGUUCUUUAUGUAGGAUCAAGGUUUUGUCUCAAUAGAAUACUCAGUAAAAGAAAAAAGGGAAUGCUAAUCAAUGGUCCUUGAUGUUAAGAUGAGUCAGUGUUCUUUUCAGAUGUUUAUAUCACAUUGGUAGGUAGGGUUAAUACUUUACCUUCAUCAGACUUCUGUUAAUAUGUCUCAUAAAUGCAAGACUAUGGAGCAAAUUAAGACUAGAUAUAAGCAUCUGCCACUGAAUCCCAGUGUUUGAUUCUUUCUAGAACAUUUACUGACAAAACUCUUUGCAAGUACUGAAGAUGUGAAUAUGCAUUAAAGCAAGCAAAUCUCUCAAACGAAUAGAUUUUGAUGCAUUCAUUUGUGAGGGAAAUAAUAUGGCUGCUGGGGAAAUGAUCAGUCAACAUCAACAUAAUAAAAACUUUAAUAAAUAGAGUAACAAUGAAUUUACAUCCAUUUCUGACUGCUGCUUAUCAGUCUUACACAUAAAUACAAUUUGUUAUAUCCAUUUCUCAAAGCUACUUGUUACUUUUCUAUUAGCUACCUGCUUUGCCACUGCUAACUUUAAUGUAUCAAAAUUAUGUGUAUUUUAGACUUAAACCUUAUCUACUCUUUUGGGAAUUUCUACUUUAAGAAUAGCACUGACUCGGCAGCCUGGGUGGCUCAACGGUUUGGCGCUUCAGCCCAGGAUGUGAUCCUGGAGACCCGGGAUCAAGUCCCAUGUCGGGCUCCCUGCAUGGAGCCUGCUUCUCCCUCUGCCUGUGUCUC